GCCUGCCCAGUGACAGUGUUAAACGGCCGCGGUAUUUUGACCGUGCAAAGGUAGCACAAUAAAUUGUCUUUUAAUUGAAGAAUGGUAUGAAUGGCAUCACGAGGGCUUAACUGUCUCCCCUCUAAAGUCAGUGAAAUUGAUCUCCCCGUGCAGAAGCGGGGAUGCGCUCGUAAGACGAGAAGACCCUGUGGAGCUUUAGACAUAAGCCAGCCCACGUCAAAAAGACCCGAAAAGGGACAUGAACAAAAUGGCCCCCUGGUGGUAUGUCUUCGGUUGGGGCGACCACGGAGAAAAACAAAACCUCCAUAUGGACUGGGGCCACUGAGCCCUAAAACACAGACCCACAGGUCAAAUCACCAGUACAUCUGACCACUAAAGAUCCGGCAUGCGCCGAUUAAUGGACCAAGUUACCCCAGGGAUAACAGCGCAAUCCUCUCAAAGAGACCAUAUCGACGAGGGGGUUUACGACCUCGAUGUUGGAUCAGGACAUCCUAAUGGUGCAGCCGCUAUUAAGGGUUCGUUUGUUCAACGAUUAACAGUCCUACGUGAUCU
rnacentral:rRNA from 1 species